rnacentral:lncRNA from 1 species
GGAGGAGCUUCCACCUAGGGCUCCUCCUAAGAAUUCAUUCUUUCCUGAUGGCUCCCGAAUGGAAUUCCACUGUCUGAUUUUGCACAGGGUCCCACACCUCUCCAGGGAGCCCCUCAAACAGCCUUAGGUAAUCUUGCAUCUCCAUUACCACUCCCACGCAUGCCCACUCCUUCUUUUCAAGUCCAACUUUGCUGAGCCACUGGCCCUCUUGUGCUAUGACGUGACGUGAGGUUGGCUGUCUGCAGUCCGCCCUUGUCCAGUCUAGUCUGUCCCCCUGCAGGCCAGAGCUAUAAGGGGUAUUCCAUUUGAGUCAAAUUUCAGUUACAAGUUACAAGGCCUGCUCCCCAGCUUC